UUCUUUUAGAAUUAAUUAAAAGUAUCUUCUGCUCCAUGAUAAAUUAAAUAGCUGCAGUUUUCUGUACUAAGGUAGCAUAAUCAAUUGUUUAUUAAUUGUAAACUUGUAUGAANGAAGGAAUAAUAUAUGAUUUUAUUAUCUUUAUGAUUUGAAUUUAAAAUUUAGGUAAAAAUACCUAAACUCAUUAUAGGGACAAGAAGACCCUAUAAAGCUUUAUAGNAACAAAAAAAUUUUUGAUGUAUACUAUUUUAUUGGGGCAAUAGAUUAUUAAUAAUAAAUAUAAUAAUACAAAAAUAUAAAAAUAAUUAAUAGAUCCAUUUAUAAUGAUAUAAUAAACAAGUUACUUUAGGGAUAACAGGAUAAUUUUUGUUAAGAAGAACAAAUUUAUAAUAAAGAUUAUUACCUCGAUGUUGGAUUAAUUAAUUUAAAUAAUGAAGAAGUUAUUAAAAUUUGGCUGUUCGCCAAUUGAAAGAUUACA
rnacentral:rRNA from 1 species